rnacentral:misc_RNA from 1 species
AAGUCGUAACAAGGUUUCCGUAGGUGAACCUGCGGAAGGAUCAUUAUUGAAUACGUUUGGUUCUGAUGCUGGCUCUUCACUGAGCAUGUGCUCGAUCCAUAACUAUUUAUCUUCUCUUGUGCACCUUUUGUAGUCUUUCAGAGCAAGUGAUAACUCUCGCAGCAAUGCGGUUUGGGGGACUUGGGCGUGAGCCCUUCCCCUUCGUUUGCUUCUUUGGAGGGCUAUGUUUUCAUAUACACUAUAAAGUUACAGAAUGUCUUUUAAAGAUUGUGCUAGUCGCAGUCAUUAAACCUAUACAACUUUCAGCAACGGAUCUCUUGGCUCUCCCAUCGAUGAAGAACGCAGCGAAAUGCGAUAAGUAAUGUGAAUUGCAGAAUUCAGUGAAUCAUCGAAUCUUUGAACGCACCUUGCGCCCCUUGGUAUUCCGAAGGGCAUGCCUGUUUGAGUGUCAUUAAAUUCUCAACCCAAAAAGCUUUUACGAGCUCUUUUGUGGCUUGGAUGUGGGGGUUUUUGCUGGCUUCCUUCAGUGGAUGGUCUGCUCCCCUUAAAUGCAUUAGUGGGAUCUCUUGUGGACCGUCACUUGGUGUGAUAAUUAUCUAUGCCAGUUGACUUUGAAGCAAAACUUAUGGGAACCCGCUCAUAACCGUCUUCGGACAACUUAUUGACAUUUUGACCUCAAAUCAGGUAGGACUACCCGCUGAACUUAAGCAUAUCAAUAAGCGGAGGAAAAGAAACUAACAAGGAUUCCCCUAGUAACUGCGAGUGAAGCGGGAAAAGCUCAAAUUUAAAAUCUGGCGGUCCCUGUGGCCGUCCGAGUUGUAAUUUAGAGAA